UGUCACUGUAAAUUGAAUCUUCAUACUGUGAUUAGAAAAAAAUUUGAGAAUCUCUUAAAUAUUCGAUCAGUGCUAUUUUUCAAAAGUGCAAAACCAUAGAUCAAUCAACGGACUACCUAUAAAACAAUUUCAUUGUAAAAAAUUUUGGCUAAAACUGUACUUCCGAAUCAGUGGACGAGUCACUGCUGAUACUGGGACAAGGGAUUAACAUCAAAAAAUUUAUACAAAGCUCCAUUUUCAAAGGUAUUGUUGAGUUUUUACCAGAAUGUAUGAUAGAGUUUAUUUGCUUGAACUUCUAUCAAUACAUAGAACAAUCGAUGAAAAUGGAGUAGUUUUCAUUCCGAGCAAUGAAGUUUACGUGACGAUUUCGGAAGCAAUGCGAAUGCACAAGAAAAGUAUUUGUUCACCUUAUCAUAUAUAUCAAAUUUUACGAAAAAAUCGCAGAGGUACUUUGGA